UGUUUUACAGCACCAAAUAUGGAAAUUUCAAGCCAGGCCAGCAUAUCGUCUCCAUCUUCUUGCUCCUCAUUUUCUGCCUCCCCCUCACCCAGUCCAAUAUAUUCUCUAGACUGGGUAGAUAACUUUAGAAUUCCAAGUGAAGAUUUUCCAGAAGACUUGAUCCAGUGUCUUCAGAGAGAGAAAAAACCAAAGCCUCGAUUGCGGAGGGAGAUGAUCCGCAUCAUUGUGAAGGAGAUGAUGAAAGCCUGUGCCUCUCCAAGUAGAAGAGCCUCGACUGAAAUUGCAAAAAAACUGGUUGCGAUGUAUCCCAAGUCACUGCAGGAUGUCAUAGAGGGGGAUGUGGUAGGACAGGGGUACCACUCUUUGGUAAAACAGAUUCAGGCACGAAUUGAAAAUGUGAAGAGGUCUACUUCACCAGUGUUACAGAAGCGCAAACAGGGAGGAUCAGAUGACACUGAUGAAGUGACACCUGAAAAGCGAGCAUCUGUUCAAGACACAUAUGGCUGCAUAAAGUGGGACAUGAAGUUUUUGCCAGUCAGUGAGACACUGGAAACCCAGCAGGAGAAAAAAGAACGUAUGAAGAUUCUCAGUGAACAGACAAGCUUCAGUCAUGAAGAAGUAAAAACUCUAAUGAAAUGCACCUACUACUCUCAGCGCAAAGCAAUAAACAGCGGCGCAGACAUGCAAACCCUCAAAGAAGAGUAGCCUUUUUCGUUUCAGGCGAUUGGAAUGACAGUCCAUUUUGAAGAACUUACUGGGGUACCGCUGAAAGAAACUUUCCUCACCAGUCUGGAAAAGAAGGGAAAAUGGCUUCUGGACUUUCUGAAAGCCACUUGUGCAGACAAGAGCAAGCGUGUCUUGGAGGCUGUCAUAAAGCUUCGAAUGCAGAGGGGACAGCUGAAGGGCUGCUCAGAAGACGUGAAAGAUAUGAUGCUCCUCCUCCUCUCCUAUUUCGAUGAAAAAGAGGAGACCCUCUUCCACUAUGUUGAUGAAACAUGUCUGGCAAAAGAAGUCCAAGUGGAAAGCCUGCCUGUGACACCAUGUAUCAUUGUUUGUGGAUCCUCCUGCUUUGCAUCGAGACUGUUCAUGCUCAGCAUUGACCACAAAGUUGUAAAUGAUCAAAUACUGACUUCAUCUCUGCAAUCUGUCUUAUGCUUGGUAGCUACUACUGCCUGAACAUCCACUAUCCCCUGGAACUUGGCUCCACACUUGAAUUUCUUCAGAGGUGUUUCUUCAACAUUAACCCAGAGAAGGGAACAAAAGUUGAAAAAACUAAGAAGAAGACACUGCAUGUGAACCCAAGAGUACUCACCCUCAUCGCCGAUCUCUCUGAUCACGAGUGGCGAGAGACCGUUUAAAGACAUUUUGAACAGAUCGGUACAGUCAGCUUAACUGUACCUUGACUGGGAACUACUGUGUUGUUUAUGUUUUCAGUUAUCCCAGCUGAUAUUGAGUACUGUGCUCUUACCUGAUUUCUGUUAUCACAGGCAUGCUUUUCAGAGGUUUUGACCAUACAUCUUUAAACAAUCCCUCUAACUAGGGAUUGUUACUGAGAACUGUACUUUUGAUGUUUCAGAGAUGUUCUAUAUUCUAUACAACAGAGUUUAAACUAUUUGAAUUUUGUAUUGCCCUAAUUAGCAAACAAGUUAAGUGUUGCACUGAACUGUUAACAUUGAAAUUUAAACAGCACUGUCUGUUACAAACAUUACUUGACUUUAACUGUUAUUAUAGCAUUUUGUAGCUGUACGUUUCUGCAAAAGUGAUGUCACAAGCUUAUGUGCUUGGUCAAAUUCAUGUUUUCCUGACAAUGGUUAAUAUACAUUUGUUAGUUGACUUUAAGUGUAGAGCUUAAGCAGUUUUGGCUUUCUUCUUUUCAUAAUGCCAGGAGAAGCUUUAGAUGCUUGUUUUGCCUUUAUUUGUUUAAAGCAAUAUAUUUGACUAGCAGCAAGUGUGUGGAGGUCAAAAUAUGUUCAAGACAAUAAAAAUGUCAGUGAAGGACAUCUGAAAUUUUGUUGCAUUGGUUUUCUGAUGCAUGUGUUUUAAGGCUUAAGGGUGGUGGCACAGCUAAGACCCAAGAGUCUCUUUCAAGGUUAGUAAAGUAAACAGAUUCAAGAAGAUAUUUUACACAUUU